UACGGAGGGUGCGAGCGUUUGUCCGGAAUCAUUGGGCGUAAAGGGCGCGUAGGUGGCGGGACAAGCGUGCGGUGAAAGCCUGGGGCUCAACCCCGGGUCGGCCGUGCGAACUGUUUUGCUUGAGCACUGUAGAGGCAGGCGGAAUUCCGGGUGUAGCGGUGGAAUGCGUAGAGAUCAUGAGGAAGACCAGUGGCGAAGGCGGGUCUCGUGGACAGUUCCUGACACUGAGGCACGAAGGCCAGGGGAGCAAAAGCGGG
rnacentral:rRNA from 1 species